CUUGCGGAAAGGUUUUUUUCUUUCUUUUUUAAUUCAUUUGAUGCUGUUGGGAAGUGAAACUACACCACGGGGUGGGAGGAUAAAUGACACCCACCACCAAGCGACAUGUACUUUCUGUGUCGUCUCCUCCUCGCACAACACAGACACAACUAUAAACCUGCAGAAAAAGUUUCCUCCAGAAUGUCAGACACAGCAGAGCCCCUCCCAUCCAGAGAGACAUGGGAUGCUCCUCGUUAUGAGGUGUCACCACCACCAUCACCACCAUGCUCCUACGAAGGACAGCAACCUCCACCCUACUCUGCAGCCCCAGAACUGUGCCCUCCACCCAAAGUCGAGAAAACGUGCAUCUAUCAACCUGCAACUGGUUACGAGUCUUUCCGGGACAUCUGCCCAGAAGCCUCGUCGGACACAACUCCACUGAUGGCCUCGUCCUCCUUUGAUGACAAGACAGUGAGACGAGCGUUUGUUAGAAAGGUGUUUAGCAUCCUGACUCUCCAGCUGCUGUUCACCUUCAGUGUGGUGUGUGUGUUCACCUUCUCCAGCGUGAUCAAAGAGGCGGUGCAGACCAACCUGGGGGCCUACAUCAGCUCCAUCGUCAUCUUCAUCGUGGUCGCCGUGGCCCUCAGCUGCUGCAAGUCCUUCAGUCGACGUCACCCCUGGAACAUCGUGGCAUUGGUUGUGGUCACCCUGAGCUUGUCAUACAUGGUGGGAACCAUCGCCUCCUUCCACGACACCACUGCGGUCGUCAUCACUAUGGGAGCGACGGUGGUCAUUUCUGUCGCAAUCAUUGCGUUCUCCGCACAGACUCGUUAUGAUUUCACUAUUUGGUACGGUGUUCUGCUGAUUCUGGUUGUGGACGUGCUCCUGUUUGGGUUCUUCUGCACCUUCUACUACUCCUACAUCAGUGAAGUCGCCUAUGGGUGUCUGGGUGCUCUGCUGUAUUCACUGUUCCUGAUGCUGGACUGUCAGCUGAUGAUGGGGAUGAUGAGCCACCGUCUGGAUCCAGAGGAAUACAUCAACGCUGCUCUCAUGAUCUACCUGGACAUAGUCCUCAUCUUCCUCUACCUGCUGGGGAGGAGAUGAAACUAAAACACAUUUACACACAAAUGGACUGACACUCCAAACUGUACAAAGAAAAAUGUCCUUAUUAUCUAUUGUUAUGACUCAGGGUAAAAAGCCUCCCCUUAAUGCUGUUCACCUUCCUGCCUUAGGGGCGUGCUAUGAUGUGUUUGGCCUUGCUCUGUGCCUUCUUUUCAUUGCAGGUGAUUGGACAGCGGUACUUAAGAGGGAACCUGUGGGUCCGGCUCUCUCUCCCCAGCUUCCAACCAGGGCCAUGCUGCACAGCACUGAUUCUUGGGUGGUGGGGUUAGAAAGGGUGUCGGUAGGGGUGAGAAGCCCUUUUGGUUUAACCCUGUUUUCGGGUAGGGAGAUAGCAUGCAGCCAUGGUCCAGUUGUUGUUUUUUCAAGGGACCAACUGUUGGCAUUCCGGGACGCGGCGGUGCUACUACCCGUGGAGAGACCCGAUGUUCCCCGUGAGUUGAGGAGGAAGAAACGUGGAUGCCGGGCGGGGGCGGAACGUCGCGCCAGGAGAAGACGUUACAAACCCGUCCUACCCUCCAUCAUCAUGGGAAACGUGAGGUCUCUCUCCAACAAGAUGGACGAGCUAGCGGCGCUAACUCGUGCGUGAAUACCGGCAGUGUAGCCUCAUGGUGUUCACGGAGACUUGGCUAACGGAGCUAAUUCCGGACACGCACGCUGUGAUGAUAGAUGGUGUAACUCUGGGCACAUCACUGUUAAAGAGCAGACCUGCACAACGGACAUUGAGCUGUUAGCUGUUAGCAUGAGGCCAUACUAUCUGCCAAGGGAAUUCUCGCAUGUUAUCAUGGUGGCUGCGUACAUCCCCCCCUCUGCUGACGCUGAAGCGGCCUGUGACGUCAUCCACUCAGCGACGAGCAGGCUGCUGACACAACACCCCAAUGCCCUCCUCCUUCUCUCUGGGGACUUUAACCAUGCCCCUCCGUCCUCCACUCUGCCCACAUUCACCCAGUACGUCACAUGCCACACCAGAGACAAUAAGACACUGGAUCUCCUCUAUGCCAACACCAAGGAGGCAUACUCAUCAUCACCUCUCCCUCCCCUGGGCCGAUCUGACCACAACCUGGUGCACCUCCUGCCUGUGUACACCACUCUUGCACAGAAGCAGCCAGCUGUGACCCGCACAGUUAGACAAUGGACCGAUGGAGCCGAGGAGGCUCUGAAAGACUGUUUUGAGACAACUGUGUGGGAGGUAUUCAGUGAUGCCCAUGGGGAAGACAUUGACGGUCUCACCGACUGCAUCACAGACUACAUCAACUUCUGUGUUGAGAACACCGUACCCACCAGGAUUGUACGGUGCUUCUCAAAUGGCAAACCCUGGAUCUCUCCAAAGAUAAAGGCCCUCCUCAAGGAGAAGAAGAGGGUCUUUAGAUCUGGCAACAAGGAGGCGCUGAGGACUGUGCAGAGGGAGCUGAGGGUGGAGAUCAGGGAGGGUGAAGAUGUCUACAGGACCAAGAUGGAGGACCAGCUGCAGCAGAACAACACCAUCGGGGUCUGGAAGGGCCUCAAGACGAUUUCUGGGUUCAAGGGGUUCAACAAACAGCCUGAGGGGGACCAUAAGUGGGUGAAUGAU